rnacentral:rRNA from 1 species
UGCGGAAGGAUCAUUACCUAGAGUUGUAGGCUUUGCCUGCUAUCUCUUACCCAUGUCUUUUGAGUACCUUACGUUUCCUCGGUGGGUUCGCCCACCGAUUGGACAAAUUUAAACCCUUUGCAGUUGAAAUCAGCGUCUGAAAAAACUUAAUAGUUACAACUUUCAACAACGGAUCUCUUGGUUCUGGCAUCGAUGAAGAACGCAGCGAAAUGCGAUAAGUAGUGUGAAUUGCAGAAUUCAGUGAAUCAUCGAAUCUUUGAACGCACAUUGCGCCCCUUGGUAUUCCAUGGGGCAUGCCUGUUCGAGCGUCAUUUGUACCUUCAAGCUCUGCUUGGUGUUGGGUGUUUGUCUCCUGUAGACUCGCCUUAAAACAAUUGGCAGCCGGCGUAUUGAUUUCGGAGCGCAGUACAUCUCGCGCUUUGCACUCAUAACGACGACAUCCAAAAGUACAUUUUUACACUCUUGACCUCGGAUCAGGUAGGGAUACCCGCUGAACUUAAGCAUAUC